rnacentral:snRNA from 2 species
AUCCUUGCGCUUGGGGCAAUGACGCAGCUAAUGAGGUUAUACCGAGGCGCGUCAAUUGCUGGUUGAAAACUACUCCCUCCGUUCCGAAUUACUCCCAGUGUAAACUAAUAUAAGUACUCCCUCUUAUAUUAGUUUAUGGAGGGAGUACUUGUUUUGCAUUUGUCUAAAUACA